GCCACACCCUCAAUCCUGCACCAUCAGCCCCUACAACAGAGCCUGAUAUAGUGUAAGCACCUAGGGGGCUGGCUCUUGGCUGAAACAGUGCCUCCUUUCCAGUGGUCCUGACACCCUGGAGGUGAGUUCCCUCCUACUGACCUCUUCCAGACCCUACAUCCCACACAGCCAUACAGCACUUCCUACAGGCAGGGCAGGGAUGCUCCUCCCUAGCCUUCCCUCAGGGAUGGCACACAGGAAGAUGUGUGCCAGCUUGCCUAACAGGGAAUGAAGUAGCAGGAUGGCUUCCCCAGGUUUCUGGCCACAAGAAGCAGCAAUGGCUUGGGUCCCAGCAUCUCCCCACACCUCUGCCUCUUAACCUCCGCUCAGAAAAAGCAGGUGUUCUGUACCAUCUCUGCUUCCUUCAAGGAUGGGGAUGCCCAACAUGACUUCCCUGAGGUCCGCUAAGAUGGUUACCCACUGUGGCUGGGCAGCCAGCCAGUGAAGCCCAGGGGCAGCUUGUGUUCUAGAUCCCCAUCCCUGUGCCCAAUCCCUCCACCUCCCUAGUGAAGGAGUCUUGACUGCCCUAUGGAAAGCACCCUGCCCAGGGCCUCUCUGCCCACCUCCCCAGCCUCGCCCAUCUGCUCUGCCUUGGGGAGGGGGACCCUUCUUGCUGGGACUUCAACCCUCACCCACUCGGCUAACCCUAAGGAGGCUCCCAGGUCUACACAGAAAGCAGGUGAAAUGCAUGAGUGAAGGUCUCCAAGACAAGGGGACAUAAGCCCCCCAGUAAGCAGUCUAGAUUUGGGAGAAACCCCAACCUAGAGGUGGGGGCAGGAAGAUGUGCCCCACCCGGCCUCCUCCCCCACCCAGGUACCAAGCCCGGAAACCACGGAAAGGGGAACUUGCUCUUUUCUUGUUUUGCACUCAACCCCUUCCUGUCUCAAAGCUUGGGGCAGCUACUUGGCUCACCCCACCCUGGCCCCCACCCUCAUCGCCCAGAAGCUCCCUCCCAGGGACACAGGUCCCGAGACCAGCUGUGGCCGCUCCCAGCGCGCCCACCUCCAUCUUGGUCACGAUGGUCCUUUGCCCUCACCUUGGAGCACUCUGGGACCUGCUUGCCGCUUCACACUCCUUGGUCCCGGGCCCUCCCGGCGAGGCUCAUGAACAGGUUCCCUGAACCGCAGCCCGGUGGCCCUGACAGCUCGCCCGCCCCCACAGCCCUGCUCCCACGCUGGCGCUGGCGCUGGCCCCACAGGUGGCCCAUGGCAGCGGUGCCCGGCCCUUGUGACCAGCCCUCCCCCAGCACCCAAUCUCACCUGCUGCGGGGAGCUGAGCGUGACCCCCCCAAGUGGAGGAGGAAGGAGAGGAGGAUGGAGGAGCCGCAGGCUGGCCGCCGAAGAUGCUCUGUCAAGACAAUGAAUGAGCAGCGGCCGUGCGCCGGCCUCCUCCCGGUGGCAGCGCCCCCUUUGGGCGGAGCUUCUGGAGGCCCGGCCCUUCUCUCCCUGAGGCGAUGCUGAGACCGCUCUGCACGCUGUCAGCUCCAACCCCCGAACAGAUGCUGACGCGAAUCAGCUCUUCUUUUAAUGUCAAAACGCAAAAAUAUCCAGUUCCUUCAUCCCUCCCCCGGCCGCCCGCAGCCUCCUCGAGGUCCUUUUCCUGGUACCGGAGGAAGCUCCCGAAAGGCUGCGACCAGCUUGAGAGCCUUGUCUAAGCCGGACCGCUCUCGUCGCUGCCCCGAAACGGACUCCUUCAUGGCCUUGGAGUCAAUUUCUCAUCUCUUGAGACACAGGGCUUCAACGGGGACACCCUUGCCCUCUGCUUCACAGGGUUGAGACCCGGAAGCAGCAAAAUGAUUGGGCAGUACGGAGAGCCUGUUUUGUGCUCUGGGCUGAGAGGACAAAUGAGACAGUCUCUCCUCUCUAUAGAGCUCUCAGCCUGGGGUCUGCCACAGUUUCAAGGCCACUGAGUACAGACAGAAGUCGGAUAGCACACACACCUGUCCCUCAGGGGUGCUAUGUUGUCGCAGAAGCAAGGGCUGGGCAAGAAAGGCCUUUGCUAAAGUCACUGAGGCUCUUGGCUGUCACUCCUCUGAGUGACUUUUGGCAGGUCACUUUAAUUUCAUCUCAGCCGCAAUUUUCCCUGUAUAAUGGUCUUACCCGCCUCAUAUGGAGAGCUGGACACACAUCUACAGAGUGGCAGGUACUAAG